CCUACGGGCGGCAGCAGUGAGGAAUAUUGGUCAAUGGACGAGAGUCUGAACCAGCCAAGUAGCGUGAAGGAUGACUGCCCUAUGGGUUGUAAACUUCUUUUAUAAAGGAAUAAAACGAGGCACGUGUGCCUUUUUGCAUGUACUUUAUGAAUAAGGAUCGGCUAACUCCGUGCCAGCAGCCGUGGUAAUACGGAGGAUCCGAGCGUUAUCCGGAUUUAUUGGGUUUAAAGGGAGCGUAGAUGGUUUGUUAAGUCAGUUGUGAAAGUUUGCGGCUCAACCGUAAAAUUGCAAUUGAUACUGGCAGUCUUGAGGACAGUUGAGGUAGGCGGAAUUCGUGGUGUAGCGGUGAAAGGCUUAGAUAUCACGAAGAACCCCGAUUGCGAAGGCAGCUUACUAAACUGUGACUGACAUUGAUGCGCGAAAGUGUGGGUAUCAAACAGGAUUAGAUACCCCAGUAGUC
rnacentral:rRNA from 1 species